GACGAACGCUGGCGGCGUGCCUAAUACAUGCAAGUAGGACGCAGUUGCGAACGGGUGAGUAACGCGUAGGUAACUACCUAUUAGAGGGGGAUAACUAUUGGAAACGCUAGCUAAUACCGCAUACUAGUAGAUGGACCUGCGUUGUAUUAGCUAGUAGGUAGGGUAAUGGCCUACCUAGGCAACGAUACAUAGCCGACCUGAGAGGGUGGACGGGCAAAACGGGACUGGGAAAAGGGCCAGGAGCCUAAGGGAGGCAAGAGGAGGGGAACUUCGGGAAUGGGGGGAACGCUGAACGGAGAACGGCGCGUGAGUGAAGAAGGGUUUCGGGACGUAAAACUCUGGUGUUAAGGAAGCGGUACUUAACCAGAAAGGGACGGCUAACUACGUGCCAGCAGCCGCGGUAAUAC
rnacentral:rRNA from 1 species